GGUCAAGACUCAUGGGAAAUAAAUCUCAGGGAGGAAUCUUGACUACCACAGAAAACCCAGAGGAGUAUGCAAAGAGGGAAGUAUAGGAGGUUAUACAUAGGUCAAGCAGUGUGAGGACUGAAAAAAAGACACUAGAUUUGACAAGGCGGGCAGUCUCCGCUCAUCUUUCCCAGAAUAUCCUAAGAAAAUUGUAGGAGCUAAAGACAGAGAUGGCUGGGCUAAGGAAUAACUGGGAAGGGAGAAAAUGGAGGCUGGAGGCAUUUCAGAAGUCAGGAUGCAAAUGCAUCCAAGUGGUAGGAAAGGUUUUAUUUGGUCUUUCCUUUUAGGCUAAUGAAGACAUUUACCAUGUUUAUACAAAGAAAGGAAUCACUAAGUGGUGAUGUAAGGAUAAAGUAAACACAGCCUGGCAGAGAAAGGAGGAGGGAUCCAGUGCACAAGUAGAGUUCAGAAAAAGUGCCUCAGAUACUAAAAGCAGGUGUUAAAAGAGCAGGUGAAAGCAUGAAUAUAUGUAGAGACAGAGGAGAAACGUUACCAAAUUCAUUUUAAAUUAAAGUCUAUACAGGGUCAAAAAAUAGCACCUGAAAAAUGAAAAAUCCAUUGGGAAUAUUCUACACACAGAGGUAGCAGAACCUUAAUUCUGCUUACACCGCAAAACUAGCCAACACUUAUUUAGUUUUAAAAAAAUAUUCUAAACACAGAUGUAGCAGAACCUUAAUUCGGCUUAUACUUACUUAUACUAAGUAGCCAACGCUUAAUUAGUUUAAAGAAAAAAACCCAUGCAGCUAUUCUAACAGUCAGUGUUUAAACUGAUUGGUGCUAAUUAAUCCAAAACUAUGAGAUUCUGUAUUAAAAAAAAAAAAAAUCUCCCCACCUAUCAUCCAUCAUCAUCUAGAGACAUCCUGGGUUCACAUUUUGAACAGAAAAGAAAUUGUGCCUUCAGGUUUUUCUUUCUCCCUGGUAAGUUCUAUUUAUGUGCUUAUGAUUUUAAAAAUUUAUUUUAAUUUAUAUUUUUAAGUAAAAAAAUUACUUUCUACCUUUUUUAUUGAAUUCUAUGAUUCUUGUGAGAUUUCAUAAUGGCUGCUCAUGAAAAAUUUAUAAUACAGAAAUAUUUCCUUUUGAAAUAAUAAUUUCUGAGGAAUAUUAAUGGUACUCAGGGGUCUUUCUUUUUUUUUCUUCCUGAACCAUCCUGAGCCCAAGUCUCACUUUGCUGUCUUCCCUAUUUCCCAGUAUCAUUUAACUGAGAAUUUUUGUUUUUAUGGCAUUCACACAUUUUUCUAUUUGACCGAAACGACUAGUUUAUGUAAAGUUAUGGUUUGGUUAGACAUCGUGUAAGUAAAAUGACAGACUGUUUCUUGCUAGGAAGAUAUUCAACAUUUAGGGCAGGUUCUAGUUGUAAAACAAACUAGGUAAAGUUAAUUACUUAGCAUAAUGAUAAUUCCAUCAUAAUUAAGAUUACUGCCCAACUUUAAUCUGUAAUAAUAAAAUAUAAUGAUCUAAUUAACCCUUACAAUGUCUUUGGGAAAUAAAAGGGCAAAAUAAAUAAUUAUAUAUCAAAUGAAAACUCCAAAAUAUAACUACGUUUUGAAGCAAAGUGAAAGGUUUCUAAAUGCCAGAAUUACCAAAAGUCACGAAACACAAACAGCAAAUAAAGUGUAAUGUUACAGCUAUAACAACUCACAUAAAGUAUGCAGAAACAACUAGGAAACACUGAGAAUUUUAAAUCUGAUUAAGGAGCUAGUAGAGAUUACCCAGCAUUCAGCUCACCAUUUGAAACCAGCCAAAUGAAUAUGUGACAAGUCUCUUUUAAAAAUCUUGCACUUUGAAAAGGAAAUGUGUUAUAAGUGUUACUCAAUCUGGAAGUUGCAAUGAGCUUGACAAUGUCAAAACAUGGAUUUAGAGAUUCUCAAUGAACCUCUAAUGUUUUACCUUCAAUAAAAUCUCUUUUCAUAAAAGGAAAAAAAAGAUUACCCAAAUUCUACCAUCAUUUUGCCACUGGGAUUAUUUUCCUUUCAAACAAUUUGGAUGACCAUUAUUAUUCCUGGACUUGAAUGUACACGAUUCUCAUAAACCCAAUGUCACACUAAGUAAAACUGCAAAAAUCAUAUACGUCUUAUAAUUAAAGUUAUUAUUUCUUUCAAAAAC
rnacentral:lncRNA from 1 species